AUGACCGCGACCCCGCGGCAGCUGGCAAACUCCUCGGCUCCUGGCGCCACCGCCACCGCCUUGGUCCCCACCCCAAGCGCACGCCGCCUCGGCUGGUCGGCUCCGGGAAGUCGUCUCUGCGGGACAGGAAUGAAGAGCUGGGAGCUCGGGAGGAAGGCUGCGCGCAGGCGAGGAAUGGAGAGCCAUCGGUUGCCGGGACAAGGCUGGAGGGACGCGGCGACACGCGUGCGUCGCAGAACCGACCAGGGCUUUGGAAAUCCCCCCACCCCAUUCCCUAGGCUGGAGGGGUGGGGGGGGGGGGUAAAACCAGAAAGUGUGCGUGGCGAAGGGAGGAGGAUCCGGGUACUGCGAUUCCUCGCAGCGCACCCUGUUCCCGUGCCCACCCGAGGAUCUGGCCACGGCUGUUGCCGGCGCCUCUCGAGGAAGCCGGGGCCGCGGGGAAGGAACGCGCGUGGGGUUGUGUGUCUGGUGGAGGGUGCACGGGUGUGUGUCUCAGUUUUCAAGGAUCCGGGGGCUAGCGGGAAAGCGUCCCCACUGCUGGGUUCGGGACAAGGCUCGCGUGGCUCCGGAGAUGACCCCAAGCUUGGGGCCCAGGGCGCAGGCGUCCCUAAUCAGUCCGCCAGGGCCCUCAGGGCAGCCCAGGGGCACCAAAGGGGCACACACCCGUGGAAAGGAAAGGGGAAAAGUUUGCUUCGAGUCCAAACUUUGAGCCCAGGAGGCACCCGCCGCAUGUCCCCUCCCGCCGCUGCCCAGACCCGGGCCCUGCACCCGCCCCGCGCCCCAGUGGCCACCGGACGCCGACGCUGAACGCUAAAAGUUGCGACAGGCGGCCUGGGCUUAUUGAUUUCUCUAGCCCAGGCGAUCGUGGAGAGCGCAGGGAGAGGCGGGAAGGAGCCGAGGAAGGCGAUCUCGCCUUCUCGCAGCCCACACCGCACCACCCCCCCGUUUGACUUAUGCAAAUGGACCCAAGGGUGCGGGCGCCGCCGAGCUCCCCCACCCUUGCGCUGGCUCGCGGCCCCCACCCGGAGCCUGGGCCCGGACCUGGGGGAGAGAGGAAGAGGGGAGGGCUGGGGAGAUGCACGUGGAGCCUGGAGGUGGAAAGUAGUUG
rnacentral:lncRNA from 1 species